rnacentral:rRNA from 1 species
UGGUGGAGUGAUUUGUCUGGUUAAUUCCGAUAACGAACGAGACCUUAACCUGCUAAAUAGCCAGGCCGGCUUUGGCCGGUCGCGGGCUUCUUAGAGGGACUGUCGGCGUCUAGCCGACGGAAGUUUGAGGCAAUAACA